GUCUAUGGCUAUGCCACCCUGAAUAAGCCCGAUGUCUGAUCUUGGAAGCUAAGCAGGGUCGGGCCUGCUUAGUACUUCGAUGGGAGACCACCUAGGAAGACCAAGUGCUGUAGGCA
rnacentral:rRNA from 1 species